rnacentral:tRNA from 1 species
GGAUGAUUGGCAGAGUCCGGCUGAUUGCAGCGGCUCGCUAAGCCGCCGAACGCCGCAUUGACGGGGUUCCGCGAGUUCGAAUCUCGCAUCAUCCG